rnacentral:lncRNA from 1 species
AAAACUAAAGCCAAUAGGUGAAUUUUUUUUUUCCCUAUCAGAUGGAAAUCCAAUGGUGAGGUGCGGCUCUCAUGAUCUAAUCAUUUCAAGCCUCUGAUGAGUAGGGUGCCCAGUAUCUGGGUCCUGCUGGAUGCCUCUCUUAAAGCCUUCUGCCAACAUGGUGGUGCCACUAAUUUUUGAGAACAUUCUUGCCUUGUCUAACACAUGAACUGUGGGGAGACACCUCGUACUCAACCAGAACAGAUUGAAAGGAAAACAAAGCAGCGAGAGAUGAUGGGACAGAGAGGGACAGGGCGCUGCUUCAGAAGGGCCAUCUGAGGAGGAGGAUCACGUGGAGACCUGUGUGGAAUGAGGUCGGGGGAGCCACAAGGCUGCAGGGAAGUGAGCAAGGGGAGGGGUGGGAAGCAAGGCCUGAAUUGGGGUCCCAGACAGCUCUGCUGCAGAUUUGAUAGUGUUUUCUUCUAGGAAUGAAAGGACAAUCACUGGAGGGUGUCUCGGGUAGAGGGAAAAUUCCAGGCGAAGUCUUUUAAUACCAACAGAGAAACCUGGACAAGAGACUACCUGUUCCCACUGUGCUCUCCAAAGGCUGAUGUACCAUGCCUCUCCUGGGCACUAUGGCUGUGGCCACCUGAAGAAGAGACCACAGGGGAAGACCACCGUGGCCAGGAGGAGGACAGGGUCCAAACCUCCUCCUCAGCAGAUUAUGGAUUGAUUUUUCAUACCUCUGGGUCCUAGCACAGUUCUGGGCACAUGGGAUACACUCAAGAAAUCGACAAUCAAUGAAAUGUAGACUCCUUAGGAUGAUGAUACCUUUGCCCAUGAGCCCUGUCCAUCCUGUAUCACUCCCAGGUGAGAGAACCUGUUGUCCCCCAAAUCA